UACGAAGGGGGCUAGCGUUGUUCGGAAUCACUGGGCGUAAAGCGCACGUAGGCGGAUGUGUAAGUCAGGUGUGAAAUCCCGGAGCUCAACUUCGGAACUGCCUUGGAUACAGCACGUCUUGAGUCCGAUAGAGGUGGGUGGAAUUCCUAGUGUAGAGGUGAAAUUCGUAGAUAUUAGGAAGAACACCGGUGGCGAAGGCGGCCCACUGGAUCGGUACUGACGCUGAGGCGCGAAAGCGUGGGGAGCAAACAGG
rnacentral:rRNA from 1 species